AAGUCGUAACAAGGUUUCCGUAGGUGAACCUGCGGAAGGAUCAUUAAUGAAAAUUAACAGGAGUUGUUGCUGGUCUUUCGAGACAUUUGUGCACGCUUCCUUUUUCAUCCACCUCACACCUGUGCACAUGAUCGAAGGGAAUGUAACAGUUCCCUUCGUUUUUAAUACACUCCAUAAGAACUGUUAGAACGAAAUUGUUAUUUGUAACAAAUCUUAACAACUUUCAACAACGGAUCUCUUGGCUCUC
rnacentral:misc_RNA from 1 species